GACUUUGAUAGUUCAGUGGUAGCACAUCCUCCUUAAAUUGCAAGUUGUUUCAAUGCAAAUCUCUCGUUCGAUCCGGGAUCAGGCCA